UACGGGGGGUGCGAGCGUUGUUCGGAUUCACUGGGCGUAAAGGGUGCGUAGGUGGUGAGGUAAGUCGGAUGUGAAAGCUCCGAGCUCAACUCGGAAAUGGCAUUGGAAACUACCUUGCUAGAGGGUUUGAGGGGGGACUGGAAUACUUGGUGUAGCAGUGAAAUGCGUAGAUAUGUGGAGGAACACCGAUGGCGAAGGCAGCCCCCUGGGCUAACACUGACGCUCAUGCACGAAAGCGUGGGGAGCAAACAGG
rnacentral:rRNA from 1 species